GCCCCAGUAAACGGCGGCCGUAACUAUAACGGUCCUAAGGUAGCGAAAUUCCUUGUCGGGUAAGUUCCGACCCGCACGAAAGGCGUAACGAUUUGGGCACUGUCUCAACGAGAGACUCGGUGAAAUCAUAGUACCUGUGAAGAUGCAGGUUACCCGCGACAGGACGGAAAGACCCCGUGGAGCUUUACUGUAGCCUGAUAUUGAAAUUCGGCACAGCUUGUACAGGAUAGGUAGGAGCCUUUGAAACGUGAGCGCUAGCUUACGUGGAGGCGCUGGUGGGAUACUACCCUAGCUGUGUUGGCUUUCUAACCCGCACCACUUAUCGUGGUGGGAGACAGUGUCAGGCGGGCAGUUUGACUGGGGCGGUCGCCUCCUAAAAGGUAACGGAGGCGCUCAAAGGUUCCCUCAGAAUGGUUGGAAAUCAUUCAUAGAGUGUAAAGGCAUAAGGGAGCUUGACUGCGAGACCUACAAGUCGAGCAGGGUCGAAAGACGGACUUAGUGAUCCGGUGGUUCCGCAUGGAAGGGCCAUCGCUCAACGGAUAAAAGCUACCCCGGGGAUAACAGGCUUAUCUCCCCCAAGAGUUCACAUCGACGGGGAGGUUUGGCACCUCGAUGUCGGCUCAUCGCAUCCUGGGGCUGUAGUCGGUCCCAAGGGUUGGGCUGUUCGCCCAUUAAAGCGGUACGCGAGCUGGGUUCAGAACGUCGUGAGACAGUUCGGUCCCUAUCCGUCGUGGGCGUAGGAAAUUUGAGAGGAGCUGUCCUUAGUACGAGAGGACCGGGAUGGACAUACCUCUGGUGUACCAGUUGUCGUGCCAACGGCAUAGCUGGGUAGCUAUGUGUGGACGGGAUAAGUGCUGAAAGCAUCUAAGCAUGAAGCCCCCCUCAAGAUGAGAUUUCCCAACUUCGGUUAUAAGAUCCCUCAAAGAUGAUGAGGUUAAUAGGUUCGAGGUGGAAGCAUGGUGACAUGUGGAGCUGACGAAUACUAAUCGAUCGAAGACUUAAUCAA
rnacentral:rRNA from 1 species